AUUGAACGCUGGCGGCAGGCCUAACACAUGCAAGUCGAACGAGUGGCGGACGGGUGAGUAAUGUCUGGGAAACUGCCUGAUGGAGGGGGGUAACUACUGGAAACGGUAGCUCAUACCGCAUACCAUCAGAUGUGCCCAUAUGGGAUUAGCUAGUUGGUGGGGUAAAGGCUCACCAAGGCGACGAUCCCUAGCUGGUCGGAGAGGAUGACCAGCAAAAAUGGAACUGAGACACGGUCCAGACUCCUACGGGAGGCAGCAGGGGGGAAGAUUGCACAAGGGGCGCAAGCCUGAUGAAGCCAUGCCGCGUGUAUGAAGAAGGCCUUCGGGUUGUAAAGUACUUUCAGCGGGGAGGCGUUACCCGCAGAAGAAGCACCGGCUAACUCCGUGCCAGCAGCCGCGGUAAUAC
rnacentral:rRNA from 1 species